CCUACGGGAGGCUGCAGUGAGGAAUAUUGGUCAAUGGGCGCGAGCCUGAACCAGCCAAGUCGCGUGAGGGAUGAAGGUUCUAUGGAUCGUAAACCUCUUUUAUAAGGGAAUAAAGUGUGGGACGUGUCCUAUUUUGUAUGUACCUUAUGAAUAAGGAUCGGCUAACUCCGUGCCAGCAGCCGCGGUAAUACGGAGGAUCCGAGCGUUAUCCGGAUUUAUUGGGUUUAAAGGGUGCGUAGGCGGCCUUUUAAGUCAGCUGUGAAAGUCUGUGGCUCAACCAUAGAAUUGCCGUUGAAACUGGGGGGCUUGAGUAUGUGUGAGGCAGGCGGAAUGCGUGGUGUAGCGGUGAAAUGCUUAGAUAUCAGGCAGAACCCCGAUUGCGAAGGCAGCCUGCCAAGCCAUGACUGACGGUGAUGCACGAAAGCGUGGGGAGCAAACAGGAUUAGAUACCCGGGUAGUC
rnacentral:rRNA from 1 species